GGAUACAAGUGUCUAGUACCCGUAAAAAGAAGCUGAGCAAGUCAAAUCUUCUAUUUUAAGUGAAGGAUUCUUACAGAUUUCUUGGAUAUAUUGAAAGACUGCAUCAGAAUUCAGCUUGUGUCUGUGCCAGCAACUGUGCAGAUUCAUGGCAGCAUCCAUACCGUAGUACUGCCUGUGCACUGAGGCAUGCAGCUUCUUGGUCUCCCUCUGGAUACUGAGGAGAUCGAGCUGUUUUUCAUCCAUUUCCCUUCUUUCAUGUGUCUGACUUGAACCAUUUUGAGUUUGUCGAUCAUCAGAGAAGGCUCCCUGUGGUGUGCUAGCCCUGAUCUCCCUUCAUACUCAAAGGAAGGCAGAGGUUGUAAUGAUGAACAAUUCCCUGGGGUGGUUGCACGAGGGCUGGAGGUUACAGUGCAGGCUCAGCCACAACCUGUUCGUAAUCCUUCCUGUGUGAUGCAGGUGAGAAGGCUCAUGAAUGAAAGCUGGCUUUGUGAUCCAGGUAAGACUGUUGUUGCACAUUAGGUGACCUUUAAUCUUGCUUACUAAACCCUCCGUUCUUCUUGGGUACCUAAGCAUGCUCAAUUUUUUUCUGUAUUGCUGUCAUCAGGGUUAUGUGUGUGUGCAUGGGAGAAGAGGAACAUUUGUUCUUUAAGAUUGCUUUCACUAGGAGUGAGUUAGGUGGAUUCAGUUUUAUUCUUUUGUGUUGAUGGUGGUGAAAAGCAAGAGACAUCUUUCUUCUCUGACAAGUCAAGGAAAAGAAAAGGCAGAUUCAAAUACCCCUAGAGAUUUUCCUUUGAGAGUCUGCUGGUAAAUAUCAAAUACUGUUUGCCAUAAGGGCUAUUCCAUAUCAUCAUAGGGUCAACAGCUAAGCAGGUUUGCUUUCUUACAGCUGUAUAGAUAAAUAUGAUCUUACCUUUGUUUCCCCUCAGGGCUUGCUUUUUGGCUUAACUUUCUGCUUUUGGCUUCUGCUUCUUUGUUCUUUACUCCAUCCCAUUGAUCCUGUUUCAGCAACUUAAAAUAAAUCAGUAUAUAACUUUUGCCUUGCA
rnacentral:lncRNA from 1 species